UGGGGAAUAUUGGACAAUGGGGGGAACCCUGAUCCAGCCAUGCCGCGUGUGUGAAGAAGGCCUUAUGGUUGUAAAGCACUUUAAGCGAGGAGGAGGGUACUGGUAUUAAUACUACCAGCUACUGGACGUUACUCGCAGAAUAAGCACCGGCUAACUCCGUGCCAGCAGCCGCGGUAAUACAGAGGGUGCGAGCGUUAAUCGGAUUUACUGGGCGUAAAGCGUGCGUAGGCGGCUAAUUGAGUCGGAUGUGAAAUCCCCGAGCUUAACUUGGGAAUUGCAUUCGAUACUGGUUAGCUAGAGUGUGGGAGAGGAUGGUAGAAUUCCAGGUGUAGCGGUGAAAUGCGUAGAGAUCUGGAGGAAUACCGAUGGCGAAGGCAGCCAUCUGGCCUAACACUGACGCUGAGGUACGAAAGCAUGGGGAGCAAACAGG
rnacentral:rRNA from 1 species